rnacentral:rRNA from 1 species
AGUCGAACGCUUCUUUCCUCCCGAGUGCUUGCACUCAAUUGGAAAGAGGAGUGGCGGACGGGUGAGUAACACGUGGGUAACCUACCCAUCAGAGGGGGAUAACACUUGGAAACAGGUGCUAAUACCGCAUAACAGUUUAUGCCGCAUGGCAUAAGAGUGAAAGGCGCUUUCGGGUGUCGCUGAUGGAUGGACCCGCGGUGCAUUAGCUAGUUGGUGAGGUAACGGCUCACCAAGGCCACGAUGCAUAGCCGACCUGAGAGGGUGAUCGGCCACACUGGGACUGAGACACGGCCCAGACUCCUACGGGAGGCAGCAGUAGGGAAUCUUCGGCAAUGGACGAAAGUCUGACCGAGCAACGCCGCGUGAGUGAAGAAGGUUUUCGGAUCGUAAAACUCUGUUGUUAGAGAAGAACAAGGACGUUAGUAACUGAACGUCCCCUGACGGUAUCUAACCAGAAAGCCACGGCUAACUACGUGCCAGCAGCCGCGGUAAUACGUAGGUGGCAAGCGUUGUCCGGAUUUAUUGGGCGUAAAGCGAGCGCAGGCGGU